CUGCGAACGGCUCAUUAUAUAAGUUAUCGUUUAUUUGAUAGCACCUUACUACUUGGGUAACCGUGGUAAUUCUAGAGCUAAUACAUGCUGAAAAUCUCGACUUCGGAAGGGAUGUGUUUAUUAGAUUCAAAGCCAACGCCCUCUGGGCUCACUGGUGAUUCAUGAUAACCGCUCGAAUCGCACGGCCUUGCGCCGGCGAUGGUUCAUUCAAAUUUCUUCCCUAUCAACUUUCGAUGUUUGGGUAGUGGCCAAACAUGGUUGCAACGGGUAACGGAGGGUUAGGGCUCGACCCCGGAGAAGGAGCCUGAGAAACGGCUACUACAUCCAAGGAAGGCAGCAGGCGCGCAAAUUACCCAAUCCCGACACGGGGAGGUAGUGACAAUAAAUACCGAUAUAGGGCUCUUUUGGGUCUUAUAAUUGGAAUGAGUACAAUUUAAAUCCCUUAACGAGGAACAAUUGGAGGGCAAGUCUGGUGCCAGCAGCCGCGGUAAUUCCAGCUCCAAUAGCGUAUAUUAAAGUUGUUGUGGUUAAAAAGCCCGUAGUUGAACCUUGGGCCUGGCUGGCCGGUCCGCCUCACCGCGUGCACUGGUCCGGCCGGGCCUUUCCCCCCGCGGAACCCCAUGCCCUUCGCUGGGCGUGGUGGGGAAACGGGACGUUUACUUUGAAAAAAUUAGAGUGCUCCAGGCAGGCCUAUGCUCGAAUACAUUAGCAUGGAAUAAUGAAAUAGGACGCGCGGUUCUAUUUUGUUGGUUUCUAGGACCGCCGUAAUGAUUGAUAGGGACAGUCGGGGGCGUCAGUAUUCAACCGUCAGAGGUGAAAUUCUUGGACCGGUUGAAGACUAACUACUGCGAAAGCAUUCGCCAAGGAUGUUUUCAUUAAUCAGGGACGAAAGCUAGGGGAUCGAAGACGAUCAGAUACCGUCGUAGUCUUAGCCAUAAACUAUGCCGACUAGGGAUCGGGCGAUGUUAUUCUU
rnacentral:rRNA from 1 species